GUAGGGAAUAUUGGGCAAUGGUCGGAAGACUGACCCAGCCAUGCCGCGUGCAGGAAGACGGCCCUCUGGGUUGUAAACUGCUUUUAUCUGGGAAGAAAAAGGCCAUGCGUGGCAAAUUGCCGGUACCAGAUGAAUAAGCACCGGCUAACUCCGUGCCAGCAGCCGCGGUAAUACGGAGGGUGCGAGCGUUGUCCGGAGUUAUUGGGUUUAAAGGGUGCGUAGGCGGCUGAUUAAGUCAGCGGUGAAAGACUUCGGCUUAACCGGAGCAGUGCCGUUGAUACUGGUUGGCUUGAGUGUCGGAGGGGUACAUGGAAUUGAUGGUGUAGCGGUGAAAUGCAUAGAUACCAUCAGGAACACCGAUAGCGAAGGCAUUGUACUGGCCGACAACUGACGCUGAUGCACGAAAGUGUGGGGAUCGAACAGGAUUAGAAACCCCUGUAGUCC
rnacentral:rRNA from 1 species